CUACGGGAGGCACCAGUGGGGAAUAUUGCGCAAUGGGGGAAACCCUGACGCAGCGACGCCGUGUGAGGGAAGAAGGCUUUCGGGUCGUAAACCUCUGUCAGGAGGGAAGAAACUCUUAGGGUCGAAUAGGCCCUUUGACUGACGGUACCUCCAGAGGAAGCACCGGGUAACUCCGUGCCAGCAGCCGCGGUAACACGGAGGGUGCAAGCGUUAAUCGGAAUCACUGGGCGUAAAGCGCGCGUAGGCGGCUUGGUCAGUCAGAUGUGAAAGCCCUCGGCUCAACCGAGGAAUUGCAUUUGAAACUGCCAGGCUUGAGUCUCGGAGAGGGUGGCGGAAUUCCCGGUGUAGGAGUGAAAUCCGUAGAUAUCGGGAGGAACACCAGUGGCGAAGGCGGCCACCUGGACGAGUACUGACGCUGAGGUGCGAAAGCGUGGGGAGCAAACAGGAUUAGAUACCCCAGUAGUC
rnacentral:rRNA from 1 species